AUUGAACGCUGGCGGCAUGCCUUACACAUGCAAGUCGAACGGCAGCACGGGGCAACCUGGUGGCGAGUGGCGAACGGGUGAGUAAUGCAUCGGAACGUGCCAUUGAGUGGGGGAUAACGUAGCGAAAGUUGCGCUAAUACCGCAUAUUCUGUGAGCAGGAAAGCAGGGGACCGCAUGGCCUUGCGCUCUUGAGCGGCCGAUGUCAGAUUAGCUAGUUGGUGAGGUAACGGCUUACCAAGGCGACGAUCUGUAGCGGGUCUGAGAGGAUGAUCCGCCACACUGGAACUGAGACACGGUCCAGACUCCUACGGGAGGCAGCAGUGGGAAUUUGGACAAUGGGCGCAAGCCUGAUCCAGCCAUGCCGCGUGAGUG
rnacentral:rRNA from 1 species